rnacentral:rRNA from 1 species
AGUGAACGCCGGCGGUAGGCCUAACACAUGCAAGUCGAACGGCAGCACAGUAAGAGCUUGCUCUUACGGGUGGCGAGUGGCGGACGGGUGAGGAAUACAUCGGAAUCUACUUUUUCGUGGGGGAUAACGUAGGGAAACUUACGCUAAUACCGCAUACGACCUACGGGUGAAAGCAGGGGAUCUUCGGACCUUGCGCGAUUGAAUGAGCCGAUGUCGGAUUAGCUAGUUGGCGGGGUAAAGGCCCACCAAGGCGACGAUCCGUAGCUGGUCUGAGAGGAUGAUCAGCCACACUGGAACUGAGACACGGUCCAGACUCCUACGGGAGGCAGCAGUGGGGAAUAUUGGACAAUGGGCGCAAGCCUGACCCAGCCAUACCGCGUGGGUGAAGAAGGCCUUCGGGUUGUGAAGCCCUUUUGUUGGGAAAGAAAAGCAGCAGGUUAAUACCCCGCUGUUCUGACGGUACCCAAAGAAUAAGCACCGGCUAACUUCGUG